CGAAAGCCUGACGCAGCGACGCCGCGUGGAGGAUGAAGGUUUUCGGAUUGUAAACUCCUGUCAGAGGUGAAGAAAGCCCUUAUGGGUCUGACGGUAACCUCAGAGGAAGCCCCGGCUAACUACGUGCCAGCAGCCGCGGUAAUACGUAGGGGGCAAACGUUGCUCGGAAUUACUGGGCGUAAAGGGUGCGCAGGUGGCUGAGAAAGUCGUUGAUGAAAUCCCGGGGCUUACCCCCGGAACUGUCUUCGAUACUUCUCAGCUUGAGGAUAGUCGAGGAGAACGGAAUUCCCGGUGGAGCGGUGAAAUGCGUAGAUAUCGGGAGGAACACCAGAGGCGAAGGCGGUUCUCUAGGCUAAUCCUGACACUGAGGCACGAAAGCUAGGGGAGCG
rnacentral:rRNA from 1 species